GGUUUAAACCCAGUAUCUCAAG
rnacentral:misc_RNA from 1 species